CCUGUUAAAGAUUGCACGUCUCACUUGAACUUACCAUCGUUGAUUUUGUGAGUUUCCUCAUCGGUCGGAUCAAUCCACCAGAUAGAUGGUGAUGGUCUGGUGAGACAAGAAGUACACGUUAUUUCUCCGGAAGGAUCCGAGGAUACAAUAUCGUCAGCUUAUAUCUGUGAUGUAGUUACAAAUCAACACGUUCGUGAGGCUAGGUGGUCAUUCACUGAUUCUCUCUUCGUCUUAUCUCUGUCUUGCAGUUAUACAUAUAUGUGAAUUUUAAAUUACACGAAAGUACAGUAUAUACAUGUUAUUUGCAAAAGUAUAGCAUUUGAAGCCUGAUAUGAUAUUAAAAGGCUACUCACUUCGUUGUCGUAAUCCCACGGCACGAAGGAGUAUUGCAACGACGGCAUGAAGACGUUCGCCUGCAGCCACCUGAUGAACAGC